AAGCUGUGCCACCUGCCCCACCCUUUCCCCACUCCCUGUGGGCGUGGGCUGGCCCUUUCACUACAUAAAGGCGUCCACAGCUGCAGCAGCUGUAUUGAGAGGAAGCUUGGAAGCAUCUCAUCAGAUACAUUCCUCCCAAGGAUCCAGACCCCAGCUCCACCCAGUCUUGCCCACUGCAGCCCAAUCAGCCAGCCCCUUCAAGAUGGCCAGCAAGGGCUUCCAGGACCUGAAGAAACAGGCAGAGGAAACUGCCCAGGAAGCGGCUGUGGACCACUUGAUCAAGACCACCCAGGAGGGCAUCGACAAAACAACCAAUCAGGCUGCAGAAGCCAUUUCAAGCUUUGGGAAAAAAUACGGGCUUCAGAAAUGAUGGUCUAUGGAAAGAAGAAAAGGAAUAACCCCCCUCUCUCCUCAAGCCCCAAUCCUCACCUCUUCAUCAGGCUAGGCCAUGGCCAGGGCUGCCAUUUUGAAAGGUCCCAUGGAGUCUGAUCUCUUAUUAAAUGAAUUCCUUUCAUGUGGAGGGAAUGGAAACCCCA
rnacentral:lncRNA from 1 species